rnacentral:rRNA from 1 species
CCUUAGAUGUUCUGGGCCGCACGCGCGCUACACUGACAGAGCCAACGAGUAUAAACCUUAACCGAGAGGUUUGGGUAAUCUUGUUAAACUCUGUCGUGCUGGGGAUAGGGCAUUGCAAUUAUUGCCCUUCAACGAGGAAUAUCUAGUAAGCGCAAGUCAUCAGCUUGCGUUGAUUACGUCCCUGCCCUUUGUACACACCGCCCGUCGCUACUACCGAUUGAAUGGCUCAGUGAGGCCUUCGGACUGACUCCAGGAGGUCGGCAACGACCACCCAGAGCCGGAAAGUUGGUCAAACUUGGUCAUUUAGAGGAAGUAAAAGUCGUAACAAGGUUUGAAGUUUGUUCCCUUCCACAGGUGACGCUCACGAGAAGCCUUUGUGACCCCGCAAGGGGUACCCGCCGCGACUGUAAAGAAUGGAAUGUGGGUAUUAAAUCGCAAGUCAGCCGCCGCUGGCAACACUUUCGAAUUGCGGGAACACCCUAAAGCCCACCUCUACCAACCAGCCUGAGAAAUCCAGCUGGGGCCCGUGUUAACAGCACGGGAAAUGGUCAUAAUGAGGUGGGAUAGGUCAGCCUUUCCGGUUGGCAUCAUGGGCAAUCCGCAGCCAAGUCCCUAAGGUCCAGCUGGGCUACGGGAAAGGUUCACAGACUAGGUGGAAGUGGGUUGGUUCAGCACCAACUUAAGAUAUAGUCGGGCUCUGCGCGAAAGCGGAGGGGAGUCACUGUUCCGUAGGUGAACCUGCGGAAGGAUCAUUACCAAACGAGUGAGAAAUCACUUUCUACCUGCUCGGUGGCCCUCGGGUCGCUGACUGGUUAACCCUUUGUGAACCAAAAAACCUUUUCGCUUCGGCAGCCAGGCCUCACCGCCUGUCAGCCUGCCGCUAGCACCAAACCACAAACCUGUUGUCAAAACAUUGUCUGAUAACCAAAUUUUCGAAUGAAAAUUAAAACUUUCAACAACGGAUCUCUUGGUUCCCGCAUCGAUGAAGAACGCAGCGAAACGCGAUAGUUAAUGUGAAUUGCAGAAUUCAGUGAAUCAUCGAGUCUUUGAACGCACAUUGCGCCCAUUGGUAUUCCUUUGGGCAUGUCUGUUUGAGCGUCAUUACAACCCUCAGCUAACCGCUGGUUUUGAACCGGAACGGGUGUCCACCCGCACCGGUUUUAAAGUUGUAAGCUCUGCUGGCUGCUCUGCCAAACCAGAACAUAGUAAAAACUACUUGUUGGGGUGAAGCUAGGCGGUACGGCCUGUACAAAACCUACCCAUUUUUCAAGGUUUGACCUCAGAUCAGAUAAGGAUACCCGCUGAACUUAAGCAUAUCAAUAAGCGGAGGAAAAGAAACCAACAGGGAUUGCCUCAGUAACGGCGAGUGAAGCGGCAACAGCUCAAAUUUGAAAUCUGGAGCCUUCGGCUUCCGAGUUGUAAUUUGAAGAGGAUGUUUCGGUGCGACCUGGGCCUAAGUUCCUUGGAACAGGACGUCAUGGAGGGUGAGAAUCCCGUACAUGGCUGCAGGUUUGCUUCUAUGUGAAACUCCUUCGAAGAGUCGAGUUGUUUGGGAAUGCAGCUCAAAAUGGGUGGUAAAUUUCAUCUAAAGCUAAAUAUUGGCGGGAGACCGAUAGCGCACAAGUAGAGUGAUCGAAAGAUGAAAAGCACUUUGAAAAGAGAGUUAAACAGUACGUGAAAUUGUUGAAAGGGAAGCGCUUGCAAUCAGACUCGCCUUCAGUUGAUCAGCCUUCCUUCUGGUUGGUGCACUCUGCUGUUGGCGGGCCAGCAUCAGUUGGGGCGGUGGGACAAAGGCGGCAGGAAUGUGGCUCGCUUCGGUGAGUGUUAUAGCCUGCUGCGUCAUGCCACCAGUCCCGAUUGAGGUCCGCGGUUCGCCUAGGAUGCUGGCUUAAUGGUUGUAAGCGAC